CAAGAGUGGACAAGAGGCAAGUCAGAGGCAUGUGCACUGUUGUUCUUCUAUGACAUUUUAAUUCCUAGAGAUGAAAAGAACAAACAGGCUUUCUGCACCAUUUGAAGAUUAAUGGGCCCAUCGAUAAAGCGGAAGCACCCUCUCAACAUUUUUUAAGGGAAGUUUUCUUCACAACAUUGGAGAUGCCACACGUACUGGCAAGGCAAUCGCAAACUGAGUUUAACUUGUGGUGUCUACUCAAACAUACACACAGGGUCUGAAUUUUUGAGACAAAAAUAAAUAACCAGCAUCAAAGGGGAAUUCCACAGAACCACAGUGGUAUUCCUUCAUGCCAUCGUCCUUUCCUUAGCUGCUGUGUUGCUCCUAUAUUGUCGGAUGUGCAGUUCUUCUGUGACACCACCACCUGAUUAAAGUCCUGUGCAGUCACCUGUGAUGUAUGAAUGUUUGAAUAAAAGCGCUUACCCCAACCUGCCUCUAGACCCACUGCAUGAAAUUCUUUAAGACGAAGCCUACAAAAAUACAGUAAAGAACUUCUCAAUAACAUUUAUGUUAGGUUGAAUGACCAGUGGGUGAUCUUUUGGCC